rfam:Tetranychus urticae London genomic scaffold, scaffold_28
GUCGGUUAUGGUGAUAUUUAUCCAGUUACCACAGCUGGUAAGAUUGUUGGAGGUGUUUGUUGUGUUUGUGGUGUACUUGUUGUUGCUCUGCCCAUUCCCAUUAUAGUCAACAAU